AGUGAACGCUGGCGGUAGGCCUAACACAUGCAAGUCGAACGGCAGCACAGUAAGAGCUUGCUCUUACGGGUGGCGAGUGGCGGACGGGUGAGGAAUACAUCGGAAUCUACUUUUUCGUGGGGGAUAACGUAGGGAAACUUACGCUAAUACCGCAUACGACCUACGGGUGAAAGCAGGGGAUCUUCGGACCUUGCGCGAUUGAAUGAGCCGAUGUCGGAUUAGCUAGAUGGCGGGGUAAAGGCCCACCAAGGCGACGAUCCGUAGCGGGUCUGAGAGGAUGAUCAGCCACACUGGAACUAUAGCACGGUCCAGAGUCCUGAGGGAGGCAACAGUGGAGAAUAUUGGGCAAUGGGCGCAAGCCUAAUCCAACCAAACCGCGUGGGUGAAGAAGACCUUCGGGUUGUAAAGCCCUUUUGUUGGGAAAGAAAAGCAGCAGGUUAAUACCCCGCUGUUCUGACGGUACCCAAAGAAUAAGCACCGGCUAACUUCGUG
rnacentral:rRNA from 1 species